rnacentral:rRNA from 1 species
AUUGAACGCUGGCGGCAUGCCUUACACAUGCAAGUCGAACGGCAGCGGGGGAGAAGCUUGCUUUUCCUGCCGGCGAGUGGCGAACGGGUGAGUAAUACAUCGGAACGUGCCCUGUAGUGGGGGAUAACUAGUCGAAAGAUUAGCUAAUACCGCAUACGACCUGAGGGUGAAAGUGGGGGACCGCAAGGCCUCAUGCUAUAGGAGCGGCCGAUGUCUGAUUAGCUAGUUGGUGGGGUAAAGGCCUACCAAGGCGACGAUCAGUAGCUGGUCUGAGAGGACGAUCAGCCACACUGGGACUGGGACACGGCCCAGACUCCUAAGGGAGUCAGCAGUGGGGAAUUUUGGACAAUGGGCGAAAGCCUGAUCCAGCAAUGCCGCGUGUGUGAAGAAGGCCUUCGGGUUGUAAAGCACUUUUGUCCGGAAAGAAAUGGCUCUGGUUAAUACCUGGGGUCGAUGACGGUACCGGAAGAAUAAGGACCGGCUAACUACGUGCCAGCAGCCGCCGUAA